rnacentral:rRNA from 1 species
AGCGUUGUCCGGAUUUACUGGGUGUAAAGGGUGCGUAGGCGGAUUGGCAAGUCAGAAGUGAAAUCCAUGGGCUUAACCCAUGAACUGCUUUUGAAACUGUUUCCCUUGAGUAUCGGAGAGGCAGGCGGAAUUCCUAGUGUAGCGGUGAAAUGCGUAGAUAUUAGGAGGAACACCAGUGGCGAAGGCGGCCUGCUGGGCUUUAACUGACGCUGAGGCACGAAAGCGUGGGUAGCAAACAGGAUUAGAUACCCUGGUAGUCCACGCUGUAAACGAUGAUUACUAGGUGUGGGGGGUCUGACCCCUUCCGUGCCGGAGUUAACACAAUAAGUAAUCCACCUGGGGAGUACGGCCGCAAGGUUGAAACUCAAAGGAAUUGACGGGGGCCCGCACAAGCAGUGGAGUAUGUGGUUUAAUUCGAAGCAACGCGAAGAACCUUACCAGGUCUUGACAUCCAACUAACGAAGUAGAGAUACAUUAGGUGCCCUUCGGGGAAAGUUGAGACAGGUGGUGCAUGGUUGUCGUCAGCUCGUGUCGUGAGAUGUUGGGUUAAGUCCCGCAACGAGCGCAACCCUUGCUAUUAGUUGCUACGCAAGAGCACUCUAAUAGGACUGCCGUUGACAAAACGGAGGAAGGUGGGGACGACGUCAAAUCAUCAUGCCCCUUAUGACCUGGGCUACACACGUACUACAAUGGAUGUUAACAGAGGGAAGCAAGACAGUGAUGUGGAGCAAACCCCUAAAAACAUUCUCAGUUCAGAUUGCAGGCUGCAACCCGCCUGCAUGAAGAUGGAAUUGCUAGUAAUCGCGGAUCAGAAUGCCGCGGUGAAUACGUUCCCGGGCCUUGUACACACCGCCCGUCACACCAUGG